rnacentral:rRNA from 1 species
GUAGGGGCCAAACGUUUGUCCGGAUUUAUUGGGCGUAAAGGGCUCGUAGGCGGUUCAACAGGUCGGUCGUGAAAUGCCGGGGCUCAACCCCGGAACGCCGGUCGAAACUGUUGUGACUAGGGUCCGGUAGAGGCGAGCGGAAUUCUCGGUGUAGCGGUGGAAUGCGCAGAUAUCGAGAGGAACACCAGCUGCGAAGGCGGCUCACUGGGCCGGUACCGACGCUAAGGAGCGAAAGCGUGGGGAGCAAACAGGAUUAGAUACCCUGGUAGUCCACGCCGUAAACUGUGAACACUAGGUGUGGCGGAUCUAUUGAUGUCUGCCGUACCGUAGCUAACGCGUUAAGUGUUCCGCCUGGGGAGUACGGCCGCAAGGCUA